rnacentral:rRNA from 1 species
UACGGGGGGGGCAAGCGUUGUUCGGAAUUACUGGGCGUAAAGAGCGCGCAGGCGGUCGUGCAAGUCGAGUGUGAAAGCCCCCGGCUCAACUGGGGAGGGUCACUCGAUACUGAUCGACUCGAAGGCAGGAGAGGGAAGUGGAAUUCCCGGUGUAGUGGUGAAAUGCGUAGAUAUCGGGAGGAACACCAGUGGCGAAGGCGACUUCCUGGCCUGUUCUUGACGCUGAGGCGCGAAAGCUAGGGGAGCAAACGGG